CUUGGCCAGCCCUGCCUGUGUUGUCUUCUGGUCCACCACAUGAAGACAACGUAUGAUUCUUUAUCUUAGAAUAUUCUUCCUGGCUGACAGGAGGAUACAAUGACAUCCACUUGAGGACAUCAGGCAUCACUGAAAAAUUUCUUUUGCCAGGUAGUAGAUUCUUUUUAGAGGACCUAGCACAGAGCCUGGCACACGGGGGUGACCCAGGAAUUAUUGGCAGAAUGUACAUAUCAGUGUGAAUGGAAGCCCUGAUGACUCAAGAAGCCUAUGGGGUGGAGAGGGGACAUCCCUGCUCCAUGCCCAAAGCCUGCUAUGAGUGGACAGCUCUGAGCAAGGCUCUCCUUCAACCAGGACAGAGGAAUCCUGGGUCAGAUCGCACUCCCUGGCUGGAGGCACACUGGCAGAAGGACCAGGACUCCAUGGAUGUGUCUGCAGAGCUCUGCUUGCAGGGUGGAGAAGAGGGGAAAUAGAUCUGGAAGGACAGACAGAAGAGGAGUACACACCAGCAGCUUCUCCUCACAGGCAAGCAAGAACAACCUGUACUUGGGUGUGGAGACACCUAACUGGGUCCUCUGGUGCCCAGGAGACAUUCUUAGAACAUUCCAGUGACUGUGGGUCUUCAGCUGCAGGUUACACUCCCACCCUGGAUAGCUGCCCACUCUGCUUAGGAAGCUGUAUACCUCCGAGGCCUCUGCUGGCUCUGGUCCGUCCAGGACCCAGUGACGGAGACCAAGGGCCCUUCCUUCUGUGACCCUUGUUUCAAACGCACAGUCACUGCAGGAAACUAUCUGAAGGCCCCGUGGGUUCCAUCUCUUUGUAGCAUCUGAUUUCCCUUUGAGUGGGAAGAGAGCAGCGGGCGGCAGUCCAGGCAGUGCUGGUCCUCUCCCCGCCCCUGCGCCCAGCAUCCCGUCCCACUGGGGGAGAGAAGGGCAGCGCUGUCGUUCCAUCAAUUUCUCUCACGCUGGCUUCCCGCACCUUUUCUCCUUCUUAAUCUACCCGUGGCUCCUAAAAGGAUUAAUUAGAAAGAUGUGAGCAGGGGCUGGAACGUCAGAAAACAAUCGUCACUUUCCUAUCUGACCUCUCUCACCAGCUGCAGAAUUAACAAAUUGAAUGUCCCCAGCAGACAGGAGUGGCACAUGAUACGGAGUUCAUUACGAGCCUCGCCAGGGCCUGUGUGCGAAGCCCCGUUUAAACAACUCUUGCUGAUUAAAUUCCUCCCAGGCACUCCCGCCAGACGCUGUUAGAAAAUACUCCCAUCCAAUAGCUUUUUAAUUUUUUUUUAAACAUGUGCCAAUUAUUCGCCUGCUAUCUGCAGGUGCUGGCAAGCGUCACGGCCGGCCUCACUGUCUACACUCUUAUCCACUCGGCGCCUGCCUGGGGGCUCGUGUUGUCAGGAAUAGGACCCUGGGCUCUGGUCUGGCCUGUCAAAAGCUCUCCAGCCACCCUCCAGGGCUGGCCCUCCCUGCCCCCAGCCCCACACGUCUCACCUUCUGGAGCUCACAACUCUCUCGAAUGUUUCAAGGUGACAACACAGACCCGGGUGACCUGCUGGAAGUGGGGCCCAGAAGGGGAGGCACGAACUCAUGCCUGGGCCAGCGCCAGCUGCCUCCCAGCCAGGGCCCGCUUCAGACCUGUGCCAAACAGGGACACAUAAUCGCCACCUCUGGGAGCAGGGGGAGGGCAGUGAGAUCCCGUGUGCAAAAGGGUUUGGCUCUUGCUCACAGGCUCCUUUAAAAUAGGUCUCCGAAUGCACUUCUCUUCAUGCUCCCACUUCAGCCCUCCUGAUUACUGGGUUCAUUCCUCGUUUGAUGCUUAGUUAAAGCUAACGAAGUUCUUAGCUAUUUAAUAGAUGCCAGCUAAUCUCUACAAGUGGGGUGUUAAAUAAAGCUAUAGACUUUUUAUCAAUGUUCAUGUUUUUUAACUGAA